rnacentral:lncRNA from 1 species
AGUUUACAACAUCACUCCAUAUUUGGAGUUUCAUCCUGGAGGUAUAGAAGAGUUAAUGAAGAGUGCAGGGAUAGAUGCUACUACAAUAUUUGAUCAGGUUCAUAGAUGGGUUAAUAUUGAAUCGAUGUUAGCAAAAUGUUAUCUAGGACCAUUAAAAGUAAAUAUAGAGAAAUAUCUAACUAUUGAAGAUUUCUCUGUUCAACAAAAUAAAUUAUCU